UUUUAAAAAGGUAUUAAAUAUAUAUGUAAUAUAAAUAAUUUUUGUUUUAGAUAAAUGCGGAAUAAAUGGAAAUGGAUUGACAUAAUUCAAAGGAUUAAAAAUCAAGAAAGUUUUGCCGAUAAUAUUUAAGUUUUGUUAAUAAUAAAUGUUCUAUUAUGGAUAUAUUCAGUUAAAAUAUCACAAAAAAGUGUUGUCAUUAACUGUUCAAAUAUAUAUGAUGUAUGAUAUCGAGAUGUUACUUUGUAUGAAUAAAGAGGAGGAAAAAAAUCAAUGAAGAUUUAGUCGAAGUAGAA